GAUGAACGCUAGCGGCAGGCCUAACACAUGCAAGUCGAGGGGUAACUUGAUUGAUAGCAAUAUUAAUUAAGCUAGACCGGCGCACGGGUGCGUAACACGUAUGCAAUCUACCUUAUACAGGGGCAUAACUUCGAGAAAUCGAUGCUAAUUCCCCAUAAAACUGUGAAGUGGCAUCACUUUAUAGUUAAAGCUCAGGCGGUAUAAGAUGAGCAUGCGUCAAAUUAGCUAGUAGGCGAGGUAACGGCUCACCUAGGCUACGAUUGGUAUGGGUUCUGAGAGGAUGAUCCCCCACACUGGUACUGAGACACGGACCAGACUCCUACGGGAGGCAGCAGUGAGGAAUAUUGCGCAAUGGACGAAAGUCUGACGCAGCCAUGCCGCGUGAAGGAUUGAAGGCCCUAUGGGUUGUAAACUUCUUUUGUACGGGAAUAAACGCUCCCUCGUGAGGGAGCCUGAAGGUACCGUAAGAAUAAGCACCGGCUAACUCCGUGCCAGCCGCCGCGGUAA
rnacentral:rRNA from 1 species